UACCAGCACCCCGAGUGGUCUGGACGAUUAUUGGGCCUAAAGCAUCCGUAGCCGGUCUUACAAGUCCCCCGUUAAAUCCAACUGCUUAACAGAUGGGCCGCGGAGGAUACUAUAAGACUAGGAGGCAGGAGAGGCAAGCGGUACUCAGUGGGUAGGGGUAAAAUCCGUUGAUCUAAUGAAGACCACCAGUGGCGAAGGCGGCUUGCCAGAAUGCGCUCGACGGUGAGGGAUGAAAGCGGGGGGAGCAAACCGG
rnacentral:rRNA from 1 species